GAGCGGUAGAGAGAAGCUUGCUUCUCUUGAGAGCGGCGGACGGGUGAGUAAUGCCUAGGAAUCUGCCUGGUAGUGGGGGAUAACGUUCGGAAACGGACGCUAAUACCGCAUACGUCCUACGGGAGAAAGCAGGGGACCUUCGGGCCUUGCGCUAUCCGAUGAGCCUAGGUCGGAUUAGCUAGUUGGUGGGGUAAUGGCUCACCAAGGCGACGAUCCGUAACUGGUCUGAGAGGAUGAUCAGUCACACUGGAACUGAGACACGGUCCAGACUCCUACGGGAGGCAGCAGUGGGGAAUAUUGGACAAUGGGCGAAAGCCUGAUCCAGCCAUGCCGCGUGUGUGAAGAAGGUCUUCGGAUUGUAAAGCACUUUAAGUCGGGAGGAAGGGUUGUAGAUUAAUACUCUGCAAUUUUGACGUUACCGACAGAAUAAGCACCGGCUAACUCUGUG
rnacentral:rRNA from 1 species